AUGGGAGUCCUGGGGGUGGAGAAUGCUUUGGCAAGCACCCCUAAGUCAUUUACCUUUUUGGAGAAACUGCAGCAGGACCACAGCUACAGCCUGAUGUGCACUGAGCUGCAUCUCUGGAGACUGAACAGCAAAAGCUUUGUGUCCUGCACUGAGCUGGAGAGCAAGGUGAAUGUGUGGACUUUCCUCCUGGGAGAUGCUAUCAGGACAAGCUGUGAACCUGGAUGUCUGAAAGAGAUCAAGACAAUUUUCUAAACACCAGUACACAAGAUGUCACAUUUAGCAGGGGAUUGUCAAAUGCUCGAAAACUGGAAUCACAGGAGCACUGUUUAAUGCUAAGUGGUAUCUGCAUCAUAUCUGAAGCUGGAACAUGCCAGGAAAACAUCCUUCACAUUCUGCACUAAUAUUUCCAAGCUUUCAGGACCAAUCAUGGGUU